UGCAGAAUCCCGUGAACCAUCGAGUUUUUGAACGCAAGUUGCGCCCGAAGCCAUUAGGCAGAGGGCACGUCUGCCUGGGCGUCA
rnacentral:rRNA from 3 species